UGUUAAAAAUUUUAUCUAUUUAUACUGUUAAAAAAUUGCAUGAUUGAUGAAAUAACUAGAUAGUGAUAUGUGAUAUGCCAGGUAUAUAUUAUGAUGACAUACAUGGAUAAAUUUUUAACUGAUUAACUUGAUAAAAAUUUUAACA
rfam:Gossypium hirsutum cultivar TM-1 chromosome 11, whole genome shotgun sequence